UGUUAAAACCAUAAACCGUCCAUACUACAGAGCAUUAAUCUAAAGUGUAUCUUUUUUAAAAGUAAAAUAAACGUAUGGUUUAGAGUGAAACGCUUUUGGUUUCAGUUAAGUUUAAUCAACGCAUGCGUGUUUUGUUGAAGCGCAGGGUUUUGGGGGGGUUUUUUGUAACUUUUUUUCAUGUGCGCCACAGAGAAGAUUGGUUUGUGAGUCUUUUCUUCGUCCUUUUCAAAUAAUAUGGCUAAAGAGGCCAGAAUGAGGGCGACAAUUAAUUAGAAACUGACUGAGAUGGGAGAACAAGAAAGACUAAAGGAGCUGCUGAGGGCUACACUGACAGAGUGUGGA